rnacentral:misc_RNA from 1 species
GAUGAAGAACGUAGCGAAAUGCGAUAAGUAAUGUGAAUUGCAGAAUUCAGUGAAUCAUCGAAUCUUUGAACGCACAUUGCGCCCGCCAGUAUUCUGGCGGGCAUGCCUGUUCGAGCGUCAUUUCAACCCUCAAGACCCCUUCGGGGGACUCGGUGUUGGGGACCGGCACAGGGGCCUGCCUGCUUGUCUUGCAGCGCCCUCGCCGCCCCCGAAAUGAAUUGGCGGCCUCGUCGCGGCCUCCCCUGCGUAGUAGCACAAACCUCGCAACGGGAACGUGACGGCGGCCACUGCCGUAAAACAACCCAAUUUUAUUAGAGUUGACCUCGAAUCAGGUAGGAAUACCCGCUGAACUUAAGCAUAUCAAUAAGCGGAGGA